rnacentral:rRNA from 1 species
UACAGAGGUCCCAAGCGUUGUUCGGAUUUACUGGGCGUAAAGGGUGCGUAGGUGGCGGGGUAAGUCGGAUGUGAAAUCUCCGAGCUCAACUCGGAAAAUGCAUUGGAAACUACCUUGCUCGAGGGUUGGAGGGGGGACUGGAAUACUUGGUGUAGCAGUGAAAUGCGUAGAUAUCAAGUGGAACGCCAGUGGCGAAAGCGAGUCCCUGGACAACUCCUGACACUGAGGCACGAAAGCUAGGGGAGCAAACAGG